rnacentral:lncRNA from 1 species
UCGAAUUUUAAUAAAAGUAUAUAUACCCUCUACUUUAUUUUCUCCAACAAAGCUGAAACUUCUCCUCCCUUCUCUCUCUCUUCUUUCUUGUUUUCUUUUUAGCCAAAUAUUUUGGUGGGUGUUUGAGUGGUUCAUGGAUAUUGAUCUCUGGUGGACUCUUGGGGGUGGUUAUUUUUUCAAUCAGAUUAUUUUUGCAUGGCUACGUUGAAAAAUUCAGAAAUCUUCACAUUUAAAUCUCAAACUUUUCUUUACUUCAUUACCCUCUUCUUCACUUUCCUCAUUCUUGUUCAUUCCUCUUCUGAUCCCAUGAGCUUCAAGAAAGAGUGUCAUCAACUGCUUCACGUAAACCCAAUAAUUUUUAUUCAUACUAUGUAUAUAUAUUAAGAAAUCAACUGAAUAUCUAUAAAUAUUUGACUACAAAUUUAAUUAUGGUUAUUUAUUAAUUUGAGGUCGUUGUAGAACUUAUAAAUUUAAAAUUUUGGAUCUAAACUCUAUUUGUGUAAAGAAGGCAAGCAAAAACUUCUUUUUGACUUUAUAAAUUUGUACUCAUCCUUUUGCUUCAUAAUUAAUGUACUGAAAAAGCUCAACAAUUAGACUCUUACCUGACAGUAAUGUUGUUCAAAACUGAACUGCAAUCGUUAAUCCAGCCGAAUCGAACGUUUAUUGGCUUAUUAGUAUCGGGUUAUCGGGAUAAUGAAUAGUGAAUGCAUUGAGAUUAAUUAACUGCUUAAUAAUUUGGAGGCGCAUUAUUCAAAACAUGGUAGUUACAUAUGUC